UCCGAAUCCUUAGAACAUUUGGUAUAUAAGCUAGAUUUCUCACCCUCCCACCCAUCAUUUGCAUCCACACGCAAAGGAAAUCCAGAUAUUCAAAAUGGUGUCUGCUAAGAAAAUGGUCUGCUUUCUCGUCAUCCUGGCUAUCUUGGGCACUCUCAUCACAGAGCCAGUGGACGCUCAUCACCACCACAGACAGGGCAAUAUCGUGGAGCUUUUGGCAGCAGGAAUCGUCGCCAAGAUGUUGUCUGAGCACAAACACCACGGAUGCCACCACCAUGGAUGAUGAGCGCCAAGGCGAAGAAAGAGCGCCAAGAAUUGUAAUAUAGAUCUUUUACAUACUUACCUGUACAAGUAAUCAUGCUUGCUGUAUAUUUGCUCCUACACGAACCAUCUGCUGUAAAAAUAUAUUUCCAUCCUUUCGAGGCUCAUAAUAUCGUAAGGAAAAUAAAAAUUCUUUUCUAAUUAA